CGCGUAGGUGGUAGUGAAAGUCUAUGGUGGAAUCUUAGGGCUUAACCCUAAACUGCCUUGGAAACUUCAUUACUUGAGUCAGUGAGGGGAGGGUAGAAUUCCUGGUGUAGCGGUGAAAUGCGUAGAUAUCAGGAGGAAGGCCGGUGGCGAAGGCGGCCCUCUGGCGCUGAACUGACGCUGAGGCACGAAAGCGUGGGUAGCAAACAGGAUUAGAUACCCUGGUAGUCCACGCCCUAAACGGUGGGUACUAGGUGUAGGGCUCGUAAGGGUUCUGUGCCGAAGGGAAACCAUUAAGUACCCCGCCUGGGGAGUACGGCCGCAAGGUUGAA
rnacentral:rRNA from 1 species